GCCAACGUGGUGUAGUGGUUUGAGUGUUGGACUGUGACUCUGGAGACCAGGGUUCAAUUCCCACCUCGGCC